rnacentral:rRNA from 1 species
CAGCCGCCGCGGUAAUACAGAGGGUGCGAGCGUUAAUCGGAUUUACUGGGCGUAAAGCGUGCGUAGGCGGCUUCUUAAGUCGGAUGUGAAAUCCCUGAGCUUAACUUAGGAAUUGCAUUCGAUACUGGGAAGCUAGAGUAUGGGAGAGGAUGGUAGAAUUCCAGGUGUAGCGGUGAAAUGCGUAGAGAUCUGGAGGAAUAACGAUGGCGAAGGCAGCCAUCUGGCCUAAUACUGACGCUGAGGUACGAAAGCAUGGGGAGCAAACAGGAUUAGAUACCCCAGUAGUCCCUGUCUCUUAUAC